UGAAAAACGCCGGUCUUCGUUCGAUUACCGAAGUAAAGCAGCGUCGAGUCCUGUCGGUACUUGGAUGGGGGACCACUUAGAAACACCAGGUGCUGCGAU